UUUUGUCUUUUUAGGGCCACACCAGCAGUGUAUGGGUGUUCCCAGGCUAGGGGUCCAAUUGGAGCUGUAGCUGCUGGCCUAUAGCAGAGCCACAGCAAUGUGAGAUCCCAGUCACACCUGUGACCUACACCACAGCUCAUGGCAAUGCCAGAUCCUUAACCCACUGAGCAAGGCCAGGGAUCGAACCGGUGUCUUCAUGGAUGCUAGUCGGGUUCACUAACCACUGAUCCAUGACAGGAACUCCAGGUCAGCCUUCUUGGUGGUAGGAACGUUCCUGGAUGUGGCCACCUCACCCACAUGUCCUUCUCUGGGCCAGGCUGGCUUUGAGGGAUGGCCAUAGGUGUUCUCUCUGUGGAAGAGGAGGCAUCCAUGGACAGGGAGGGCAGCUGUUGGAGACUCACCCACUGCCCGUGUUUUUAGUGACAAGUUCCCCGUGGCUGGGAUAUAGGCUAAAAGAAAUGGACACAAGAGGAAUGUGCCUGCAGAGGCAUGAGCUGCAUCUGUUCAUGAGCUCUGGUUUUUACUCUAUAGACAAAGCCGACUCCAGCUGGUGUGGUGGCCAAACCAUACCCUGCUCAUAAAGACAAUGAGAGUCAGUGUGGAUCCAUUACUCCCCAUGUUGCACAAGCAUUAUCUUAGGUAAUAAAGGUGGGGUCAACUAGUGGUUGGCAGCAUGGAGCUUGGAGCCAGAUGACCCGGCUUCAAAUUCUUGACACAUCCUUUAUUAGCUGUGUAAUCUUAAUUGUUCUCAGUGUCUGCUUCCUUUGCUGUAGAAGCAGAUAAGCAUGGCUGACCUGUCUUCUGUAGUUGUUGAAAGGAUUCCACUUAGUGUCCUGUAGGCAUGGGCUCUUAUUGUGAAUGCUCCCACUAGUGCUGGGAGACAGGUAUCAUUGCUCUCAUUUGAAAGAGAAAGUUAACUGAGAUACCAGGAACUUAAGAUUCCAACCCAGACAAGUGACUCCCAAACCUGCUGCUUCCUGAAGUUCCUACCGGUUGUGUCUGGAUGUGCCCCCAGCUCCAGGAGGCAGUGGGACAGAGUUUUGUUCUUUCCACACAUCCUAUAUGAGCCUAGAGUCUCCACUUAUUAUUCCUCAGAAGCCCUCUGCUCCCCUAGCAGCCUCGCUCUGUGUCCAGGCUCCGACUGCUAUUUGUAAAGCUACAGUGUGGAGAGUACUGUAAAAAUACUAACAUCUGGGGGUUUUCUGGGCCUGGGCAAAGUGUGCAUCUCAGAGGGCAUAGUCCUCAGUGGAGACUGAAAAUCUCUGGGGUCUGAAGCUGCCUUGAACUUGGACUGCCAAAGAGGCUCUCAAUGUGACCUCGCACAGCCUUUCUGCUCCAGUUUAUUGACUGCUGCUUUGUGCACCUGUGAGUUACAUUUGCAGCGUUCUGAGGCUGAAAGGGUUCCUGUAAAUGCUCCAUGUAAUUAAUUAUAAACAAAGCAGCCAGCCAGGAGCACAAUGCCGAAAGAAAUCCUCAGCAAGCCUCAUUGCAUGCUCUUUUUUUUUUUUUCCUCCGCUGAAUUUCUAUCCAUCCAGGAGCUUCAAAAGUGCAAUCCUCUUUAACUACAGAUUCAUGAUGUUGAGGCCAUUAUUUUUAGAUACUGCGGUUUUAAGAAGUGACCCAGAAACAGGAUAUAAACACAACCUCUCCCCACCUCCCUUUCCCCCAAGCAAAGAACCAGAUUAAACUAGUCCAGGCUUGUAUGAAUAUUUAUGCUAGAACCUCUGCCAGAUAAGAUUAGAGGAGUUCAUCCUGCCAGGCGAACACAGACUCUGUACUCAGAUUUAAUGAGAAAUUGACAUGUUAAUAGCAUAUUGAUGCGUCCUUCACCAGGAAAUCUAUACAUGUGUCUUGGGGCCCAGGAGAGGUGCUGUUUUGUCAUUUUUAGUUCUACCAAGAAAGCAGUUGUUGCAAUGAGAAGAAUUCCAAAGACAUCCUGCUUUACACAAAAGAUGAGAAGUGGGGUUUCUAGUGUGAAUAUACCUGGGAAAUUCCUCUCUUGACACUGCCUGUGAGUUUGUAGAGGCUAAUUCUUCUAAGUAGUGUUUCCCAGGGUGUUUUGGUAGAAUGUGAUGACUGUAGGGAGUUAACAGCUCUCACAUGAAGAGAAGGGGCACUAGGGCAAAAAUACUGGAUAAAUGAUGAGGUGAACAGAUUUCUUUUCCUUUUCUUCCUUCCUUCCUCCCUCCCUCCGUCCUUCUCGAUCCCUUUCCUUUUCCUUCCUUCCUUCCUUCCAUCUCUCUUUCUUUUCCUCUCUCUCUUUCUUUCUUUCCUGUUUAGGGGCACUCAGGGCAUAUUGAAGUUCUCAGGCUAGGGGCUGAAUCAGAGACAUAGCUGCCAGCCUACACCACAGCCACAGCAAUGCCAGAUCUGAGCCAUGUCUGUGACCUAUACCGCAGCUCAUGGCAACGCAGGAUCCUUAACCUACUGAGCGAGGCCAGGGAUAGAACCUGCAUCCUCAUGGAUACUAGUUGGGUUUGUAACCUGCUGGAACCUUCCUGAACAGACUUCUUUACAACAGAACUUUUCACCCUUUCACUUUCCAAGAAGCAGAGAAAUUAUGCUGUGCUUCCAGACUUUUUAGACUACGGAGUUCUUCUUUCUCAAAGUAACAUGUCCCAGAGCAUACAACUUUUUUGUAUGUGUUAUGCCUCCCCUUAGCAGGCUAAGGAUCCCAUCUCAGAAAAACAUGUUUAAAUGCAAAAAAUAAAACACAUAGGAUUAUAAACGAAACAAUUUGUAUCAAAACCAAAAACACUACUAAAAAUAUUUUGAAAUAUUUAAAAAUGGGCAUACAUUAAUAUAGGCACUUUUUUUUUUUUGUCUUUUUGCUAUUUCUUGGGCCGCUCCCGCAGCAUAUGGAGGUUCCCAAGCUAGGGGUCUAAUCGGAGCUGUAGCCACCGGCCUACACCGGAGCCACAGCAAUGCGGGAUCCGAGCCUCGUCUGCAACCUACACCACAGCUCACGACAACGCCGGAUCGUCAACCCACUGAGCAAAGGCAGGGAUUGAACCCGCAACCUCAUGGUUCCUAGUCAGAUUCGUUAACCACUGCGCCACGAUGGGAACUCCUAAUCUAGGCACUUCUUUUUUAAUGGGUCUAAUAAUUAUAGGUGUUUCAAGGUACUGAUGGCCAUGAAUGUUAUUUCAAGAUAUGGUCAUUCCUCAGUAGUCAUAAAUUCUGAUAUUGUGAAUUCAUCUACUUGCAAAAAUUUAUCUGUAACCUCCAAAUCAAUACUCAUGGCCCUUCUGCGGUCAUUUGAGCAAUGAGAAAUUUUAGUCUCCUGAUUUACCUUUUUCAGCUAAGGUUGAAUAAGGUGGGAUUCUGCCUUCUUGUUUCAGCUCUCACACUGUAAACAAGUGUCCUUUUCAUGGUGUAUUUACUGCUAUAUUUGGGUCAUUUUUAUGCAUUUUUAUUGGUGAUUUCACUGUCUAAAAUGAUCCCCAAGUGCAGUGCUGAGUGCCGCCUUGUGCUCUUAGAUG
ensembl:lncRNA